rnacentral:snRNA from 20 species
AUACUUACCUUGUGAGAAGAUCACGGGAUCAUGAAGCCGUGGCCUUUCAUUCGUGAGUCCGCAUUGCACAGCGCGGUACUUUCACAGUGAGUGAGUGUCUUCGGGCACUCACCUCGCGUUAUUUUUGCUUUCACAUCGAAGAUGUC